rnacentral:rRNA from 1 species
CCUACGGGAGGCAGCAGUGAGGAAUAUUGGUCAAUGGAAGCAAGUCUGAACCAGCCAUGUAGCGUGCAGGAAGACGGCUCUAUGAGUUGUAAACUGCUUUUAUACGAGGAUAAACGCAGAUACGCGUAUCUGUCUGAAAGUAUCUUACGAAUAAGGAUCGGCUAACUCCGUGCCAGCAGCCGCGGUAAUACGGAGGAUUCGAGCGUUAUCCGGAUUUAUUGGGUUUAAAGGGUGCGUAGACGGUCGGUUAAGUUAGAGGUGAAAUCAUGAGGCUCAACUUCCGAAUUGCCUCUGAUACUGGUAGGCUAGAGAGUAGUUGCGGUAGGCGGAAUGUAUGGUGUAGCGGUGAAAUGCUUGGAGAUCAGACAGAACACCGAUUGCGAAGGCAGCUUACCAAGCUACUUCUGACGUUGAGGCACGAAAGCGUGGGGAGCAAACAGGAUUAGAUACCCUUGUAGUC